CACUGGUUGCUCGGGAAAUACAUGGAAACCGUGCAGAGAAUAUCGAAUGUAUAAUUAUGUACAUACAAUGUUGAAAAGAACAUCAAUAGUACUCGAGAAGUUGCAAGACAUGGCGGAGUUUAACGGGAGAACUGUCACACUUGUGAUUUUUCGAAAGUGGUUUGCAAUAGUUUACACUGUUACUGUAAUGCUAUGUGUUUCUGUUAUAAUUUGGGGUUCCUUGCACAUGCCAAAGAGUCAGAAGCAUUUGCAAACAUAUAUGAUCGUAUCCACAAGUUUUGGCUUUUUAUGUUCAUCGAUCACUUUUAUAACAUGGUACUGUAUUUUAUAUAGACAAGAGGGAACAGAAUACAGAUUUGUGUAUAUAUUAUUGAAACUAGAGUAUAUUAUCCUGUUGGUCGUGUCCAUAGUUGGUGCCGUGUUCACGUAUCAAAGAUGUGUUAUUUUUAACUCAAUAUAUGAGACUAACAACCUUCAGUGUUUUAAAGUUUUAGACAUUUUUACCAGCGCCUUGGUUUUCAUUGGUUUCUAUAAUAUAUGCAAGACGACCCUUUUGUGUGGUCUGUCUUAUAUUGGUUAUAGUUGUAUCCAACCAUCUGUUUACCAUGUCGAACAAUUUAUAGUUAGACAUAAAUGACGUAGUUGUCAAGUCAAUAAACUGUGAAGUCAUACCAAGUCAACUAAACGUUGGAGAUAUACUAAGCCAACUUAACAUGUGUGUUGAUGACGAUAAGAGAACACCAUUGAUCGUUUUCUAUAUAAACUGUGGUGUGUUUUUUAUUGCGCUCAUACCACUCAGAGCUUAUAUUGAAGAACUGAUAGGACGCUAAAGAUAUAUGGAUAAGCCACUGGAAGCCGACUGAACAAUAUUGUGUAAAUUAACAACUGGGGAAUUGUAUUAAUAAUAAACUGGGAGUAUUUUAUUGUAUAAAUAAUAAACUGGGUGUAUUUUAUUGUAUAAAAUGUAAACGGGUGUAUUUCAUUGUAUAAAUAAUACACAGGGCGUAUUUUAUUAAAAUAUUGUAUACAUAAUAAACUAUGGUGGCUGAUUGGUAUGUCGUGGUGUCGCCCUUCAUAAGGCGACAACCCGACAUUAAACACCAUUUCCAGAGUGAUUCCUCUUUGACGAAAAACCGUGGCCCCCAUUUACAUAUUGGCGUGCACGUAAAAGACCCCCUGACAGUUGGUAUUCAGUAUGAGAGUAGGUCUUAGCGCCGC